rnacentral:lncRNA from 1 species
UGUGUUUGUUCUGGUGCUUUGUCAGGUUUGAUUUGGGAGGUGAUGAUCUUCUUGUGGCUGGCUUCUUUUUACUUGUUUGUGUCUUUGUAAUAUGUGAGAUUUUAAGGUAUUUGGGUGGAUCUGUGGGUCAUGCGAUCUUUUCGUUUUGUGCCCCUUGGGUGUAGCAGCUCUUCCCCUCAACUUGUCCUGGUGAUGUUGUCUCAGGCGGCGGCUCUGUUGAAUUUUGGUUAGGGUUUGUUAGCUUUCUUGGCCUUGGUUUGGGCUUGUGUGGGCUUAAUGCCUUCUAGGUUUUUAACUUCUUGUUGGUUCUUUUGCAUUUUAUUUGGGCCUCUGGCAUUU